GUGCUCGCUUUGGCAGCACAUAUACUAAAAUUGGAAUGAUACAGAGAUGAGCACGGCCCCUGUGCAAGGAUGACACAGAAAUUCGUGAAGCAUUCCAUAUUUUU
rnacentral:snRNA from 1 species